CUUGCCCAACAAUAGGAGGUCCAGCCUGCCCAGUGACAUAGUUCAACGGCCGCGGUAAACUAACCGUGCAAAGGUAGCAUAAUCACUUGUUCUUUAAAUAAGGACUUGUAUCAACGGCAUCACGAGGGUUACACUGUCUCCUUUCUCCAAUCAGUGAAACUGAUCUCCCCGUGAAGAAGCGGGGAUAUUAAUAUAAGACGAGAAGACCCCAUGGAGCUUUAAACCCACAGCAACUCAAUAACAUAACCCCUGAAAUUAUAGAGCACUGCACGUCGGCUUUAGGUUGGGGCGACCGCGGAGCAAAAACUAACCUCCAUGACGAAAAGGGCUAGACCUUUAUCCAAGAGUUACUACUCCAAGAAUUAGUAUACUAACGUAAAAUGACCCAUUAAUGAUCAACGAACCA
rnacentral:rRNA from 1 species